AUAAGUCAUAUUCAGUAUUAUAGACCAUCUAGAAUGGGCAUUAUUUUUUAUUUGUUCUGAAUUCAUUUGUGUUAAACAUAAACGCACCUUUAAAAGUACAACACAUAUCCAACUGCCUUUGCAGUCAUGCACAGAAUUUAAAUAUACAAAUGAUCAAUGUUAAUUUUAUGAUUUAAAGGGAUGAGCAGCACUUCUAGAAGUGGUUUCGUAUUUUAAGAGUUGAGAUUUAAAAGGUAAGAUUUUGUCACUGUGUGGCCUAUGUAAGCAUAACUCUUUCUUUGACAAGUUUCUACAAUUUAAAUAGCACUUUUUCAGCUUUGAUAACCUUUCAUUUUUGCACACCAACCUAUUUAUAAUACAUUUGCUAUUUAAAAAAAAAAAAAAAAAAGUUUCAAAAUAGUUUUGAUUUUUGAAUGUUUUGUAAUCUGAAAUGCAUUAAAAUAAUUUAACUUUCUAAGUAGUGGUACGUUUGUAAUUUCUUAAUUCUUCUGUCCAUUGCUCUUGACCAAAGCCCCUCCCUUACUUACAUUUUUGUGAAAGUUUUUUUUUUUUUUCACUCCAGCUAAAGUAUAUAAUUCCUUUCUAACAUUGCAGAUAUGUAAAGAAUUAGUAGCCAAAUUAAAUGAUUUUGAAGCUCUCUUAAACACGGUGAAAAGUGGAGAGAAAUGUGCCUAUUGACUUUUGUUUUAUAGAACAGACCUUUUAAUAAUGACGUUAAUAACCACAUAUUAUUACACCCUAUGUAUGACAAUUGAUGUUUGGAAUUCAUUGAUCGCCGUAUAGGGUUUAUUCACUAUCCAUGCAAUUCCAAUCAAUUCAAAUUCAG